rnacentral:lncRNA from 1 species
AAAUCGCAAUUCUACAGAUUUCCAACCAUAUUGUCACUGCAAUACCAAUUCUUUUACGCCUCACACUUUGUGCAAUUAAAGGCAGACGGGCCAUUACUGCAAUAUAUUAAUGUGUUCCAUAUUGUCAAAUCGCAGUAAAAGGGUCACAUUUCUCCAAUCAUAAUUUCAAUAACAGUAAAAUACAAUUAAAUAAUUUAAUUGCCAAAGAACUUACAGUGAUUGUGUAAAAAGAAAACGGUACACUGUGGGUAGAGGAAGCAAUCAAACAAGCUGCUUCAGUAGGAAGCAAUAUCACACUAUCAAAGAAAAAUGAACAAUACAAAUUUAGAAUCUUAACGAGUACAUUGCAACAAAGCGUAACUUCAACAACACAGAUGUGUAUAAAAACAAGGCUAUUCAAUAGAAUAGGAUACCAUAAAAGAGACUAACAUGCAAUGAUUAAAUAGAAAAAUAAAUAUAGUUAAAUAGACUAAGUUAGAAACAAAGCAGUAUUCCAACAUUAUUUAUAAUCUAUUUAAAUAAAUAUAUUUAAUAAAUGAUAUAAUUAUAUAAUUAUAUACCAUAAAAGAGACUAAGCAGGCAAUGUACCGUGGAUGAACUUAUGACUUGUAAGAAACAAAAAGGCAGAAAAUAGAAGAGGCAUUAUGGUCAAGUUGAAUAAUGUUGGAAUACUGCUUUGUGACAAAGGUGACAAAUAGGUAACUGUGGUUUUCAAGUAUAAUUAUAUAAUUAUAGGUAACUGUGCUUAUAAUUGUUUCAAGUAUAAUUAUAUAACUAGUAUAUAUUUCAAUUAUUUCUUUUGUUAAAAAAAAGGGGGAAUUGGUUGUUUUCAAGUAUAAAAAACAAUACUGCAAUAUAUUUGACUUUUUGAUUUAAAUUUAUAUGUAUUAUAUAUUUAUUAUAUUAUAAAUAUAUUUUUAAAAAAUUACAAAUAAUAUAUAUUAAAAGUCAUUUAAGUUCAUCAAUUUGGUUAUGAAAAUUUAUAUUUUGAUAACUGACCAACUUAACUUUUUUUAAUACAAUACUGCAAUAUAUUUGACUUUUUGAUUUAAAUUUAUAUGUAUUAUAUAUUUAUUAUAUUAUAAAUAUAUUUUUAAAAAAUUACAAAUAAUAUAUAUUAAAAGUCAUUUAAGUUCAUCAAUUUGGUUAUGAAAAUUUAUAUUUUGAUAACUGACCAACUUAACUUUUUUUAAUACAAUACUGCAAUAUAUUAAAACCUUUCCCGACUUUUAAAUUAGAGAAAAAAGAAUUUAAUUAAACAUGUUCAAAUUAACUACCUAUAAAAGAGACUAAUAGGCAAUGACUAAAUCAAAAACUUACACAUACUUGAACAACUAAUGAUGUAGUUUAACCAAAAUAAAUUGCUAUAAAAAAAGUACAUGGAUAUAGCCAUGGGUAAUGUCAAAACUCAAAACAGCACACCAUAUUCCUUUCUUUCCCUUCUUCCUUAACUAGCUGCCCUUAUCUGUCACUUUUCAGGUUUGGUUACUGCUUGCUUAAGACUAAAUAAGGUUGAUUCAGCUGGAUAAUAGAUAGCUAAUAACUAAAUAUGUAAAAAAAAAUUACAUCUCCUCAAAUCAUUCCAAUUAAUAAACAACAAUACAAUUUCAAGCAUUGAAUGAUGAACAAAAUGAUCACAUAGUUUAAGCAACAAAAUCCAGAAGGUAAACAAAAUGAUGAGCAAAAUGAGCACCAUCAUUUGCAGCCUACGGAACAAAAUGAGGAGCAACAAAACAAAGAAACAUUGGAUUCCAAAUAUGCAAAUCCAGAAGGUAAUUAAAGAGCAUCAUCAUUUAAGGAUGUAUAAUAGAAGUAAGAAAUUUCAAGCAUAUACCAUCUAUAUCAUAUGAUAAGUCCACACAGUAAGUGGAUGCAUAGCCAAAGAACCAUAAAAUAUCAAGACUCUUGUCUCUCAUCUGGAACUAUACUACCCAUGAAGGGGACACCCACACAUCCCCACACCCAUUUUCAAUUACUACACAACGAAGCUGUUGCUUUCAUUACUCUUUUUACUAAAAAAAACACUUUUUCCCCUUAUGCUGUAAAAAUCUGUUGAAUGAUUGAACCAACCCGGAUGAGCUACAUAUUCCAAGUUCCAGACUCCACCCUGCACCAUUUUUCUACCCACGUUGGCCCAACAAAAUUUAUAUAUAACUCAACAAUACAAUAGAAUAUCACAUGGUUUUCUUGACCAAGAAAAUCUGGGCCAUGCUUCCUUUUUUAAUUAAAUAUUAACAUAUGUUCCUCCACAACACUCUUCCCCUAACCAAACAAUGCAUUGUUGGGAGGGGCUUUUGGAGCCCACUGUACAUCGCUUUCUAUCUCCACUGUCGGCAAUCAAUUGUAUAAUAUGGUUUAGCCCAGACUUUGAGGACAUUUUCUUGUAUGUUGUGGAGUUUAAGUGUUGAAGUCUGAUUGGAGAGCAACAUUAUUUUUGGGUAUCAAAAGUUAUGAUCCUGAUUCAAGCACGGAUAGCUGUGAGUAGUUUAUAUACAUGUAGAAAGGGAAAAUGAAAAGGGAAUAUUUUCUUUGUUCAAUCGUUGGGUGAGUCUGUGAAUAGAGAAAAGUUAAGUUGAAUGUUGGAGGUGGUCUGCUCCAGCAAUUUUAGGAAUCUUCCCUACCAGAGGCAGAGAAUACCCAAAUUUAUGGUGAAAAGAGAAACCAUGAUAAGUUCAGGUAUGCAAUUAGCUUAACAGAAAAGUUAGAAAAAUAUGUUACUGGGAAAUUGGGCAGAACAACAUAGAUGCCAGAUUUUGGCCUUAUUCGACGGGCAGAAUCUGUAAACAAAUUAACAUUAUUCUCACAUAAAUAUUGAACUGCACGUGGAACGUGCAUCAGGGAGCAAAAAAAUUUGAGAACAACGAGCAGGUACGGUACCGAGAAGAAAAGCCUAAACUGGGUCUAAACUUUGAGUACGAAAUUCGACACCAGCAGAGUUACAUGAUUAAACUUUCUAAAACCUCAUGUUAAAGGUAAAUGCAUGAUUCAAUUUCUAGAAAUGUUGAUCUUUCGUCAUAAAAAAACAUAAAAGGGAAAACAUGUUGAAAGAAUGUUAGGGCAGACAAUUUUUACCUUGAUUGAAUUGGAAAGCUUUUCUUGAGGGUUUAUUUGGAGAUACUUGGGAUUGAUCUCUACUCACUGCAUUUGAAGAACACAAGUCUGUUUUGAUGGCCAAAACAGUGCUCUGAAAAGGUGCAAGAAAUCGGGAAGAGAAACAGUGCUCUGAAAGUGAAACAGGAAGAGGCCGAUGGAUGAAACAGGAAGAGAAAUCGGGAGCUUCUUGAUCUUGGGAGGGAGAGGCUGGAGAUGGCUCUUGUAUUGGAAGGGUAAAACAGGCCAAAUCACAAUCGGGAGAGUUAAGCGGAGCUAAUCUGAACUUUUUGAAGGGAAUAGAAAUGGGUCUUUCAUCAGUAAUACACCCGGAAUGUAUUAGACCCGUAAUAGGGCAAUAC